UACGAAGGGGGCUAGCGUUGCUCGGAAUCACUGGGCGUAAAGGGUGCGUAGGCGGGUCUUUAAGUCAGGGGUGAAAUCCUGGAGCUCAACUCCAGAACUGCCUUUGAUACUGAAGAUCUUGAGUUCGGGAGAGGUGAGUGGAACUGCGAGUGUAGAGGUGAAAUUAGUAGAUAUUCGCAAGAACACCAGUGGCGAAGGCGGCUCACUGGCCCGAUACUGACGCUGAGGCACGAAAGCGUGGGGAGCAAACAGG
rnacentral:rRNA from 1 species